AACGAACGCUGGCGGCAUGCCUAACACAUGCAAGUCGAACGAACCCUUCGGGGUUAGUGGCGCACGGGUGCGUAACGCGUGGGAAUCUGCCCUUUGCUUCGGAAUAACAGUUAGAAAUGACUGCUAAUACCGGAUGAUGUCUUCGGACCAAAGAUUUAUCGGCAAGGGAUGGGACCGCGUAGGAUUAGGUAGUUGGUGGGGUAAAGGCCUACCAAGCCGACGAUCCUUAGCUGGUCUGAGAGGAUGAUCAGCCACACUGGGACUGAGACACGGCCCAGACUCCUACGGGAGGCAGCAGUGGGGAAUAUUGGACAAUGGGCGCAAGCCUGAUCCAGCAAUGCCGCGUGAGUGAUGAAGGCCUUCGGGUCGUAAAGCUCUUUUACCAGGGAUGAUAAUGACAGUACCUGGAGAAUAAGCUCCGGCUAACUCCGUGCCAGCCGCCGCAGUAACAC
rnacentral:rRNA from 1 species